UAGCUAAUAUCUUGCAAUGUAUAAGAUUGUGUUUCAUAAGCCUAGCAGGAAUAGCACCCUAAGUCUGAACACAAAUGUAUGAGCCCAGCCCUAAGAAAUGCUGGACUCACUGUCUCAGCCACCACCAUGCCACUAGUUUAUCCAGAAUCAAGAGCCGGCCGAAAAAAGGGCAUUAGCCGAGCGGGCCCACACAAGCCCUCUAUUGUACAGCAUGGCAUAAUGGCGAUGCAGGAUUGUUUUGAUGCUCCC